GACGAACGCUGGCGGCGUGCUUAACACAUGCAAGUCGAACGGAAAGGCCCCGCUUUGGUGGUGUGCUCGUGUCGCGAACGGGUGUGUAACACGUGUGUAAUCUGCCCUUGACUGUGGGAUAACUUCAGGACACUGGGGAUUAUCCCGGAUAGGCGCUUCUUCCGCAUGGUGGGGUUGGGAAAUUCUCGGGGGUUGGGUGUGGACUCGCGGCUUUUCAGCUUUUUGGUGGGGUAGUGCUUUACCAGGGCUUUGACGGGUAGCCGGCUUGAGAGGGUGACCGGCCAAAUUGGGCUUGGAUUACGGCCCAGACUCCUAGGGGAGGCAGCAGUGGGGAAUAUUGCACAAGGGGCGGAGGCCUGAUGCAGCAACGCCGCGUGCGGGAUACCGGCCUCCGGGUGUUAACCCGCUUUGGCCUGUGAGGAACCGUGUGUGACGGUAAUGGGUAAAGAAGCACCGGCUAACUACGUG
rnacentral:rRNA from 1 species